CAGCACCAAGCUGGCACUGCAUGCCGACCUCCUCUCCCCGCGAGCAGCUCAGGUGCUCCAAAGGUUGGAGCCCCACCUCCAUCAGCAAGAGGCUUUUGCUGACACCGCGGAAAGAAACCGGCAGAAGCUGGAGCUGAAGCGGCAGCUCCCCUGUGCUCGAUGCUCGUACCGCUCCAGAGGGGAAGGUGCUG